GAGGUAUGAGGCGCCGGAAAUGGAGGCCUUGAGACCCAAGAUGGCCGCCAUGAGACCGGAAGUGAUGGAGGACAUGAGGCCCAAGAUGGCGGCCAUGAGACCGGAAGUAAUGGAGCCGGAAAUGGAGGCCUUGAGGCCCAAGAUGGCCGCCAGGAGACCAGAAGUGAUGGAGCCGGAAAUGGAGGACGUGAGGCCCAAGAUGGCCGCCAGGAGACUGGAAGUGAUGGAGCCGGAAAUUGAGGCCUCGAGGUCCAAGAUGGCGGCCAUGAGACCGGAAGUAAUGGGGGAGGAAAUGGAGGACAUGAGGGCCAAGAUGGCGGCCAGGAGAUCCAAGAUGGCGGCCGGGAGACCGGAAGUGAUGGGGGAGGAAAUGGAGGACAUGAGAUCCAAGAUGGUGGCAGAAAUGGAGGCCUUGAAACCCAAGAUGGCGGCUGGGAGACCGGAAGUGAUGGAGCCAGAAAUGGAGGACGUGAGGGCCAAGAUGGCGCCGGAAAUGGAGGCCUUGAGGCCCAAGAUGGCGGCCAUGAGAUCCAAGAUGGCGGCCGGGAGACCGGAAGUGAUGGAGCCGGAAAUGGAGGCCUUGAGGCCCAAGAUGGCGGCCAUGUGUCCCAAGAUGGCGGCUGAGAGACCGGAAGUGAUGGGGGAGGAAAUGGAGGUCUUGAGGCCCAAGAUGGCGCCAGAAAUGGAGGACAUUAGGGUCAAGAUGGCGGCCAUGACACCGGAAAUGGCAGCCAUGACGGCGAAAAUGGCGGCCAUGACACCGGAAAUGGCAGCCAUGACGGCGAAAAUGGCGGCCAUAACACCAAAUAUGACGGCCAUGAUGGCGAAAAUGGCAGCCAUGACACCGGAAGUGGCGGCCAUGAUACCAAAAAUGGCGGCCAUGACACCAGAAAUGGCGGCCAUGAUACCAGAAAUGGCGGCCAUGACACCGGAAGUGGCAGCAAUGACACCAGAAAUGGCGGCCAUGACACCGGAAGUGGCAGCAAUGACACAAAAAAUGGCGGCCAUGACACCGGAAAUGGUGGCAAUGACACAAAAAAUGGCGGCCAGGAUGCCAGAAAUGGCGGCCAUGACACAGGAAGUGGCAGCCAUGACACCGGAAGUGGCGGCCAUGACACAGGAAAUGGCGGCCAUGACACCGGAAGUGGCGAACCCCAUAGGGACCCAUAGAGAUAUAAGGGACCCCAUAGGAUGAUUAUAGGGACGAUAAAGAGAUAAUUGGGACCGCCUAAAAG
rnacentral:lncRNA from 1 species